GACGAACGCUGGCGGCGUGCUUAACACAUGCAAGUCGAGCGAUGAAGUUUCUUCGGAAAUGGAUUAGCGGCGAACGGGUGAGGAACACGUGAAGAAUCUGCCCUUCACUUUGGGAUAACACCGGGAAACCGGUGCUAAUACCGAAUAUUGAAACAUAAGUGGCAUCACUGAGUUUUGAAAGAAUUUCGGUGGAGGAUGACUUCGCGGCCUAUCAGCUAGUUGGUGAGGUAAUGGCUCACCAAGGCAACGACGGGUAGCCGGCCUGAGAGGGCGACCGGCCACACUGGGACUGAGACACGGCCCAGACUCCUACGGGAGGCAGCAGUGGGGAAUAUUGGGCAAUGGAGGAAACUCUGACCCAGCGACGCCGCGUGCGGGAUGAGGGCCUUCGGGUUGUAAACCGCUUUCAGUAGGGAAGAAGCGAAAGUGACGGUACCUACAAAAGAAGCACCGGCUAACUAUGUGCCAGCCGCCGCCGUAA
rnacentral:rRNA from 1 species